CCGUACCGGCAGCCCCAGGGGAGGCACCGGGGCCCUUCCUGGGAAGGGGUCGGUGUGGGGCAGCGCGACCCUCACUGCGGCCUCGGUGCUAGUGGCACGGCAGAGCUGCCGGAGGCUCCAGCGGCUGCUGGCGGUUCUCCCCCCCAGCCCCCGGUGCCCGGGUGGGGUGACGGUGCUGGGGCCAGGAAGGGGCCCCGCAGAGGAGAGGUCUGGCCCCGGUGGAAGGAGAAGCCUUGGCGGGCCCGGGGCCUGCUGCCGGUCCCCUGCUCUGAGCCCGGGUCCUGGUGGCUGAGUGAGGGGUGACAUGGGGUCUGGGGGGGCUGGGAGAAGGGGGACGCCUUCAGCACGAACGGCGGCGGGGUGCAAAUGCGCCUCUGCAUUUUAGGAGGCAUUUCAGGAGACAUCGCAGAGCUGUGAGAACGCAGCCCGGCAGCUGCCCUGGGCAGCGCAGGGAGGACUCCCCUCCCCGGCUCUGCAGACCAGCAGAGGAAGGUCCCAUGGGUUUGUCAGGCCUCAGCAGAGCAUUUGGCUGAGCUUGGUCUUCAGGAACCCCCAUGGCUCUGUCCCAGGGGACGCUGCCAUGGUGCCAACGUUGGCUGCAGUAGUGGAGUGGCCCCACAGGCCUAGGGAAGGAGCGGCAGCAGAUGAGCUUGAAGGCCUGGGAAGGAUGCAAAGGAGAAGAAAGAGGUAGAGAGAAUGUGCUGUCUUUGCUUCCUGGCCCGCUGGUGGAAGACAAGCCUUGGUAUAGUGUGAGAGCACCUUCUCCUUGCCAGCUCCAUGGGAACGUUUCUGUCAAGUGGAGGAGGAGCUUCUGCAGGAUUCUGAGAUCCCCUGCACAGUAAGUGAUGAAGAUACUGGAGCAGGCUGAGCCCAGCCCUUGGGUCACUCUCUUCCCUCUGCUCUAACUGCCCGACCUGAAGAGGUAGGUAAAUGGGGUCCCUGAUUAUAGAACCCCCAGUCCUUUUCUAAGCCUUAGUUUUUACGCCUCUGUUUUUACACCUCUACCUGCACUGCCCCAAGGAUGCUGUGAUCCACCUGUGGGCAGGGGAACGUCUUCCUAGCCAUGGGGGGACCAGCCCCUGCAGUCAAAAGAGGAUUCCUGUGAAAGAAAAUGUUAAAAUACCAAACUGAGUUAAGGCAGCUGGGUGAGAGUGGGAGUCCGGAGCUAGGAUUAAAGGGAAGCACUGUCAAGGCUGGGAGGGCACAACUGUGGUUCCUGUGUGUCAGGACCUGCCCUUCUGCAGCCCCUGUUUCCUCAGGGUCUUCUCCCUUCACGCCUCCACUGCAUAUGGGUGAGCUCUUGUGUCCUAAAGACUCAUUCCAUGUAAGUCUGUGUGACUAGAUACUGCAGGUGUGGAUGGAGAAAUAGCUACCAGAGAACAGCAGGCCAAAGAGAGGAAGAGUACCUGCUGAGAGAUAGAUUGUGAAAGUCUCCCAAAAACUGAUGAGGUCUGGAGACUGCCAGUGGUGUUGAAUCGCCAAGAGCUGAAAGACUCAGAAUACCACGAGUCUGCUGAAUCUGUACAAGGCUGCUAACACAGGCUAGCAUCUGCUGUGGGUUGUGUAACUUGGACCAUGCCCAAGAAUGCGGAGGCUGCUGUGUGCAAACAGAGACUGCAGGAUUAUACAAGCAUCUAAUGAGAGAAGAGCCCCUCUGUGUGACGUUGUGAGCACCUACCUGGAAGCCCCUGCUGCGUCAGUGUGACGCUGCACUCCUCAGUAAACAGCUGCGGUCGGACCCCUGGGGUUGCUGCCCAGGUAGCAGCAUGGUGAGUGCAAGUGACCUGUGUGAGUAAGUCACUGUGGUGUGGGACUGGUUAUCUGCUGCUAGUAAUACCAGCUUGAGUCUAUUAAUAGCAACAGCUUAAGGACUGAAAGGCUUUCUGAUAAAUUUUAGCUCUGACUCGAUCCCCCUUAAGGUAAAAGGUAAUUUACACCACUUAGACCCCUGUUCCACAUCUCCCCAGAAGGAGAGCUUGGGAAGGGGAGGAGUUGGGGACCCCUGUCACCCAGCUGUGUGUGUUGCAGUGCCUGGAGACCAGCAGAGGAUACACAACAGCUCACCGAAGAGAGCCUGCAGGUGCUGAUGUGCGUGCAGUCCCUGUGCCACCACAGCAGGAGCAGAACACCUGUGUUUGUGCAGACGAUGCUGUGGGCUCUUCCCUCACUGAUCGGAGUGGAUUAGGAGUCAGUGCUUUUUUUUCUGGGGACAGAAGGCAACCAAGGCAUCCUGCCUGUAUUCACAUCUGCCGUGAUUCCCCAAAUCGCUCUUCUUGCCAUGAACAGCUUCGUGCUUUCUCAGGAAGACUUGGGGGAAUGCUCGGGUAUGAUGAGAGCAGCAGCCUGGUUGACUCUUGCUUUUACUGCAGACAAAAUCAGUGAGGAGAGAACAAAAAUGAGCUAGGCUAAAGCUGGCAGCUGAUCCUACGCAAACUGCUGUGACUUUGCUGCCUGGGGCAGUGGAGAUGCGCUCCUGGCUUUGCUCCUAAGGGCAGAGUUACCCAAGGGGUGCAGCAGGCUCGUAGGGCCUUAAUCAGGGCCGCAGGGCAGGACCAAAGCAGGAGUGAUGGGCAGGAGAAGGAAGCUCCAUGUUUUACUUCUCUGUAGCACAUCCAGAAACUAAAGUGGCCUCCCCUUUGCCCUGGAGCUCCAAGCACACUGAUGAGGUGGCAGCUCUUCUCCAGUGCUGCUGGGAUGAAAAAAGCCUCUCCUGCCCUGCUGGGCUGUGUUCCCAGCACUCACAGGUUAUGCCUCCCUGAGGAGUGGGUGAAACAGCAGCUGCUGCUGUCCUUUCAGGGGAUUUUAGGGAUUGGGUGAACCUCCUUAAUGGCAAAGGAGAGUCUGGAUCGAAGAGAAAACAACUGACCUAGUCAAUAGCUGUGUCUCUUCUGGGGAGAUCUCUCUGCUAAGAGAUCAAAUGUAGUAGCGGUUCCUAAAUACAAUAAAAGUACAGCAGGACUCACUGUGGGGGAACAGAGCUGGCUGGGACUGAGCGCUCCUCUGCCAGCUACCACACAAAGGCCUGGGGCAUUUUGCUCCACUUGGCUGUUGGGGGCCAAAGUGGGAGGCUCAGCUGGCCAUUUCUGCAAAAGGCAGGACAAUUCUUGGGCACUACUGGAAGUGGAGUCUGUCUUCAGUCUCCAGUAGCCACAAAGAUGGCAUGCAGGAAUCUGAUUCAUGUGUCUGAUGCAGUUUCUAGAGCAGAAACUACUUUUCUCCUCACUCAAGAAACGAGCAGACAGGGUCUCUGAUUUCCAGUAUUUAUUCAUAUUCAAGCAAUGAUAUUAAUAUUGUUUUAUGACAGUGCUUUACAGCCUUGUAAAUGGAACGUAAGUACACAAGUAGCUGAAAUUUUACUUUCCGUACCUUUGUAAAAAAGAAAGAAAGAGCGAGGUGGGACAAGAAAAGCAUGUGUAAAGGGGGAAAGAGAGAAGGAACCCAAGGAGAACAUUUCCUUCCCCCACCAUGACCCACGGAAAGAAGAGAUGCAGUGGGCAGACAGCAGUAGGGACAUGGAGGUGGCUCUCAGCUGCCCUCUCUUAACUCCAGCAGCACAGCCCAAGAGCUCUUCCCAAAGGAGGAACUGGGCAACAAGCAGGUGAGUUGUCCUGCAAACAGUUUUUUCUUUUUUUUUGCCAUGGAUUAAAUAAAUGAAGAGCUGCUUUGUUUCA